UGCGUAGGCGGGUCUUUAAGUCAGGGGUGAAAUCCUGGAGCUCAACUCCAGAACUGCCUUUGAUACUGAGGAUCUUGAGUUCGGGAGAGGUGAGUGGAACUGCGAGUGUAGAGGUGAAAUUCGUAGAUAUUCGCAAGAACACCAGUGGCGAAGGCGGCUCACUGGCCCGAUACUGACGCUGAGGCAAAGAACGUGGGGAGGCGAAACA
rnacentral:rRNA from 1 species